rnacentral:rRNA from 1 species
GUGGGGAAUAUUGGACAAUGGGCGCAAGCCUGAUCCAGCCAUGCCGCGUGUGUGAAGAAGGCCUUAGGGUUGUAAAGCACUUUCAGUGGGGAGGAAGGGUGUUGUGUUAAUAGCACAGCAUUUUGACGUUACCCACAGAAGAAGCACCGGCUAACUCCGUGCCAGCAGCCGCGGUAAUACGGAGGGUGCAAGCGUUAAUCGGAAUUACUGGGCGUAAAGCGCACGCAGGCGGCUUUUUAAGUCGGAUGUGAAAGCCCCGGGCUCAACCUGGGAAUUGCAUCUGAUACUGGGAAGCUAGAGUAUGUGAGAGGGGGGUAGAAUUACAAGUGUAGCGGUGAAAUGCGUAGAGAUUUGGAGGAAUACCAGUGGCGAAGGCGGCCCCCUGGCACAAUACUGACGCUCAGGUGCGAAAGCGUGGGGAGCAAACAGGAUUAGAUACCCCGGUAGUCC